CCAGAACCAAACAGGUGGGGUUUUAGGAGGGGUUCUGAAAGAGAAAUAUCAACUAACAAAGAGUCACUGACAACAACCAGAACCAAACAGGUGGGGUUUUAGGAGGGGUUCUGAAAGAGAAAUAUCAACUAACAAAGAGUCACUGACAACAACCAGAACCAAACAGGUGGGGUUUUAGGAGGGGUUCUGAAAGAGAAAUAUCAACUAACAAAGAGUCACUGACAACAACCAGAACCAAACAGGUGGGGUUUUAGGAGGGGUUCUGAAAGAGAAAUAUCAACUAACAAAGAGUCACUGACAACAACCAGAACCAAACAGGUGGGGUUUUAGGAGGGGUUCUGAAAGAGAAAUAUCAACUAACAAAGAGUCACUGACAACAACCAGAACCAAACAGGUGGGGUUUUAGGAGGGGUUCUGAAAGAGAAAUAUCAACUAACAAAGAGUCACUGACAACAACCAGAACCAAACAGGUGGGGUUUUAGGAGGGGUUCUGAAAGAGAAAUAUCAACUAACAAAGAGUCACUGACAACAACCAGAACCAAACAGGUGGGGUUUUAGGAGGGGUUCUGAAAGAGAAAUAUCAACUAACAAAGAGUCACUGACAACAACCAGAACCAAACAGGUGGGGUUUUAGGAGGGGUUCUGAAAGAGAAAUAUCAACUAACAAAGAGUCACUGACAACAACCAGAACCAAACAGGUGGGGUUUUAGGAGGGGUUCUGAAAGAGAAAUAUCAACUAACAAAGAGUCACUGACAACAACCAGAACCAAACAGGUGGGGUUUUAGGAGGGGUUCUGAAAGACACUCAUGGGGGGUCCACUGAAAGUUAACUAGCAACAAUAACUGGGACCUAAAAGACACCCAACAUGAGUGUCCACUACAUUUACCCAAGAAGAGACAAAGAGAAGGAAAAACCACACAAUUUAAAGACAGGAAGUAAACCUAAAAGUGGAGCAAAACGAA